UGCACAAUAAGCGGUAUGCAUACACAUGGAGUUCUAUGGGUGGGUAAACGGGAGUCGGGAAAAACCGCGUUAUAGCCGGCCCUGCACUAUAAGCGGUUACAUUAUAAGUUGUCUGCACUAUAUAUCAUCACA
rnacentral:lncRNA from 1 species